UAGUAAUACAUUGUUUGUUACAUUUUUUUUGGUCAUGUAUAACUAAUGCAAGCAUUAGUUAUACACAAUAUUGUGUAUUAAGUUGUGUAUUACUAAUACCAAGAAAUUUUAGGUAUUAGUAAUACAUAGCAUUUUUACACUUGCAUUAGAUUAUGCAAUUACAAAAAUACCUUCAAAGCCCUUUAAAAAAACAUUUUCCAUAGUACUUGUUUCAUCUUCUCUGUACUUUGUCAAUGAAAAUUCAAGAGUAGGUUUUUCUUCCUUUUGCUCAAUCAACAUUGUUUGCUCAUCUUCAUAAGGUCAGCUGAUGUUGGUGAAUUUGUGCUGUUUUUCUGCGAUCUCGAUUGGUGAAGUUGAGAAAAUUUGGAACAUUGGUGAAUGGGUGGGGAAUUUGUGUGAAGUUUUGUAGAGGUUUUUGGGUGUGUGAAAAGUGAAAAAUCUUUGAAUUUUUAGUUUUUUUUUUUGUUGGAUUGGAGUUUUUAUUUGAAUGAUUUCUGGUUGGAGUAGAGAUGGAAGGAAGGGGAUAGGUUUAGAGAUGGAGCAGCAUCUGCACUUAAGGCUCCACAAUUUAAGGGGGGAACAAAUUCUGCCCAACCAACUACUCGAGCUGAAGAUUUCAAUUUUAAAGGUCAAAAAGUGAAGAAACAAAGAAAUGCCUGGGACCCAAAAUCGCUUAAGCUGCGUAUCAAAGUUGGCCCUUGGCAUCUG